GACGUAGGGUGCGAGCGUUGUCCGGAUUUAUUGGGCGUAAAGAGCUCGUAGGCGGCUCGUCGCGUCGACCGUGAAAACCCGCGGCUUAACUGCGGGCUUGCGGUUGAUACGGGCGGGCUAGAGUUCGGUAGGGGAGACUGGAAUUCCUGGUGUAGCGGUGAAAUGCGCAGAUAUCUGGAGGAAUACCGGUGGCGAAGGCGGCAUCCUGGACCGGCAUUGACGCUGAGGAGCGAAAGCUAGGGGAGCAAACGGG
rnacentral:rRNA from 1 species